UGGGGAAUCUUCCGCAAUGGACGAAAGUCUGACGGAGCAACGCCGCGUGAGUGAUGACGGCCUUCGGGUUGUAAAGCUCUGUUAAUCGGGACGAAUGGUUCUUGUGCGAAUAGUGCGAGGAUUUGACGGUACCGGAAUAGAAAGCCACGGCUAACUACGUGCCAGAAGCCGCGGUAAUACGUAGGUGGCAAGCGGUGUCCGGAAUUAUUGGGCGUAAAGCGAGCGCAGGCGGAUUGGUCAGUCUGUCUUAAAAGUUCGGGGCUUAACCCCGUGAUGGGAUGGAAACUGCCAAUCUAGAGUAUCGGAGAGGAAAGUGGAAUUCCUAGUGUAGCGGUGAAAUGCGUAGAUAUUAGGAAGAACACCAGUGGCGAAGGCGACUUUCUGGACGAAAACUGACGCUGAGGCGCGAAAGCCAGGGGAGCGAACGGG
rnacentral:rRNA from 1 species